AACGAACGCUGGCGGCAUGCCUAACACAUGCAAGUCGAACGACAUCUUCGGGUCUAGUGGCGCACGGGUGCGUAACGCGUGGGAAUCUGCCCUUUGGUUCGGAAUAACAGUUGGAAACGACUGCUAAUACCGGAUGAUGACGAAAGUCCAAAGAUUUAUCGCCAGAGGAUGAGCCCGCGUAGGAUUAGCUAGUUGGUGUGGUAAAGGCGCACCAAAGCGACGAUCCUUAGCUGGUCUGAGAGGAUGAUCAGCCACACUGGGACUGAGACACGGCCCAGGCUCCUACGGGAGGCAGCAGUGGGGAAUAUUGGACAAUGGGCGAAAGCCUGAUCCAGCAAUGCCGCGUGAGUGAUGAAGGCCUUAGGGUUGUAAAGCUCUUUUACCCGGGAUGAUAAUGACAGUACCGGGAGAAUAAGCUCCGGCUAACUCCGUGCCAGCCGCCGCCGUAAUAC
rnacentral:rRNA from 1 species